GUUGGUUUUGCUAACUAUCUGUGUGGCAAUACUGUGUUGAUAAGAUUUCGAAAAAUUGAUUCAGUUAACUGUAGUAAUGCAAAGAGAAAACCGAUGAAGAUAAUCGAUCAUCGCUGGCCCUUAUGAUUCUAAACGCUAGAAGUAAAAGUACUCUUUCUUAAAACGGUACAACGGCGACCAUUAUUUGGACGAGCUGCUGAAGCUGUAAAAGAGGCAGGAAGCGAAGAAGAUCGGAUUCCUGUUGACGAUUAAGGCACCUGUGUAAAGGACAUGACAAUUGCUGAGACGGAAGCGGAUUUCUUUCCGGCGAUGCAGUCGGUGAGAACCAAGUCGAUGAAGGCUUUCAGGGAUAGCUUAAUCCUGCUGGAACGGUACCUUUGCUCGCCAUGGCACGAAAUGGUACAGGCCUGUACGAGUGAGACUUUUUGAUACACCUGUACAUUUGAGCACUUCCAAUGUGGAGACCGGCAUCAUUUAAGCUUGCUUUGAAAUAAAAUACUGAACACUCGAGUAA